CGUAACCAAGGAGAGAAGGAAACAGCCCUUGGAAAGAGAACAUAAUGAACUGCACUUUGCUGAAAUAUUUAUAUUGUUGGCAGUUGUCACAGAAUCCUAUGAGUCAGAAGAUCAGAAGAAUUAACCUCCCUAGAAUGUUCCAUCUGAAAAAGAAC